rnacentral:rRNA from 1 species
GACGAACGCUGGCGGCGUGCUUAACACAUGCAAGUCGAACGGAAAGGCCCUGCUUUUGUGGGGUGCUCGAGUGGCGAACGGGUGAGUAACACGGGAGUAACCUGCCCUUGACUUUGGGAUAACUUCAGGAAACUGGGGCUAAUACCGGAUAGGAGCUCCUGCUGCAUGGUGGGGGUUGGAAAGUUUCGGCGGUUGGGGAUGGACUCGCGGCUUAUCAGCUUGUUGGUGGGGUAGUGGCUUACCAAGGCUUUGACGGGUAGCCGGCCUGAGAGGGUGACCGGCCCCCUUGGGACUGAGGUACGGCCCAGGUUGCUACCGGAGGCAGCAGUGGGGAAGUUUGCCCAAUGGGCCGAAGCCUGAUGCAGACACCCCGCGUUCGGGAUGACGGCCUUCGUGUGGUAAACCGCUUUCGCCUGUGACGAAGCGUGAGUGACGGUAAUGGGUAAAGAAGCACCGGCUAACUACGUG